UAACAGUUUCCUUGUGAUGGCACUUCCCAAGAACAAGCUGAGGGUUGUACACUCCAUGGCCCUUGUAUUCAUGGGUCUUAUGAUUUUCUCCAAUGUUUUCUCAUCAUGUGAUGCAUUUGGAGAGCACGACAUACAGUGUAAUAAAAUUAAGGAUUGCACAAUCACUGGAUGCAAGAAUAUGUGCAAAGAAUAUGGUCUCGAUCCUUAUUCAGCUUACUGCUCAUUAGCACCGGGAGAUGAAAUGAAAUGUUGUUGCACCCCAGUUCCCCCAUUCCAGGAAUAACAUAGAAAAUGAUGUACACAUUAUCUUGAGCAAGUUGAAUAUGGAAUAAGAAUUUUAGUCCAUCUAGUUUUGUGAUAA